ensembl:lncRNA
CUCUCUCCCUCCCCCUCUCUCUCUCUCUCUCUCUCUCUCUCUCUCUCUCUCUCUGUCUCUCGGUCUCUCGCCCUAAUGCAAGCGGGCUCCUGGACACAAGGGUCACGACCUCAACACGGCAGGAAACUGAAGCAGCAGAGAGAGACUCCCCUCUCAGGAGUCAGAGAGAGGACUCAUGUUCUCCUCUCUCAGGAGUCAGAGACAGGCCUCAUGUUCUCCUCUCUCAGGAGUCAGAGAGAGGACUCUUGUUCUCCUCUCAGGAGUCAGAGACAGACCUCCUGUUCUCCUCUCUCAGGAGUCAGAGAGGACACCUCAUCUCCUCUCUCUGACUCCAGAGAGAGGACUCUUGUUCUCCUCUACAGGAGUCAGAGAGAGGAGUCAUGUUCUCCUCUCAGGAGUCGGAGAGAGGACUCAUGUUCUCCUCUCUCAGGAGUCAGAGAGAGGACUCUUGUUCUUCUCUCAGGAGUCAGAGAGAGGACUCAUGUUCUCCUCUACAGGAGUCAGAGACAGGACUCAUGUUCUCCUCUACAGGAUUCAGAGAGAGGACUCAUGUUCUCCUCUCUCAGGGGUCAGAGAGAGGACUCAUGUUUUCCUCUCUCAGGAGUCAGAGAGAGGACUCAUGUUCUCCUCUCUCAGGAGUCAGAGAGAGGACUCUUGUUCUCCUCUACAGAAGUCAGAGACAGGACUCAUGUUCUCCUCUCUCAGGAGUCAGAGAGAGGACUCAUGUUCUCCUCUCAGGAGUCAGAGACAGGCCUCAUGUUCUCCUCUCCCAGGAGUCAGAGACAGGCCUCAUGUUCUCCUCUCUCAGGAGUCUCUCUGCUGAGGUUCUCCAGGGCAUGGCGUACAGCGACACUACGUGCUGAGAUGGAAGACUUUGCCACACCUGUUCCACCACAGGUGUAACAGACAGAUGUAUUAACACCUGCUCAGAGUGAUUGAUGCCACUUGUUCUGCUGGUUUUCGGCAGUAAAGCCGACGCGUUGGGGUUGUCAGUCUCCUGAGUGUCUGUGAGUGAUGUCCCAGCCUGUGUGACACCUCAGUUACCCCCAGAACCUCCUCCAUCACCUCCAGCUCCACCUUAUUCAAUCAGUCGUUGGAUAUUACACUUUAAAUGCUCCUCAUUCAUCUGUUUUCUUUGUGACUUCAAGAAUAAUAAAGGAUAAAAUAAUAGCU